rnacentral:rRNA from 1 species
UACAGAGGGUGCGAGCGUUAAUCGGAAUUACUGGGCGUAAAGCGCACGUAGGCGGCUUGGUAUGUCGGGUGUGAAAUCCCCGGGCUCAACCUGGGAACUGCAUCUGUGACUGCAUCGCUGGAGUGCGGCAGAGGGGGAUGGAAUUCCGCGUGUAGCAGUGAAAUGCGUAGAUAUGCGGAGGAACACCGAUGGCGAAGGCAAUCCCCUGGGCCUGCACUGACGCUCAUGCACGAAAGCGUGGGGAGCAAACAGG